AAACGCUUGAAGUCGGACGUGCAGGGCAACUUGCAGGCCAACAUCGGUUUCAUUAGUCGGAUAAAGGUUUGAGGAAGGUGGCAGCUCCGGCUGUGUUAUAGCCUCUUGCUGAAUACGAAUAGAGAGACCGAGGACCGCAGC
rnacentral:rRNA from 1 species